rnacentral:rRNA from 1 species
CAGUAGCCGCGGGAAUACGAAGGGUGCAAGCGUUACUCGGAAUUACUGGGCGUAAAGCGUGCGCAGGCGGUUUGUUAAGACAGAUGUGAAAUCCCCGGGCUCAACCUGGGAACUGCAUUUGUGACUGGCAGGCUUGAGUAUGGCAGAGGGGGGUGGAAUUCCGCGUGUAGCAGUGAAAUGCGUAGAUAUGCGGAGGAACACCGAUGGCGAAGGCAGCCCCCUGGGCCAAUACUGACGCUCAUGCACGAAAGCGUGGGGAGCGAACAGGAUUAGAUACCCCUGUAGUCCCUGUCUCUUAUAC